rnacentral:rRNA from 1 species
UACGUAGGGCGCAAGCGUUGUCCGGAAUUAUUGGGCGUAAAGAGCUCGUAGGCGGUUUGUCGCGUCUGCUGUGAAAACCUAAGGCUCAACCUUGGGCUUGCAGUGGGUACGGGCAGACUAGAGUGCGGUAGGGGUGACUGGAAUUCCUGGUGUAGCGGUGGAAUGCGCAGAUAUCAGGAGGAACACCGGUGGCGAAGGCGGGUCUCUGGGCGAGGUAAACUGACGCUGG